ACUAGUAUUCCUUUCCGGAAAUGCAUUUUGGGAACCUGGCCAUCCUUUAGUGUGCCUAUAUCAUCAGAACAGACGCCCAGGGAUGGCCCUCAAGGUCCUUUACUGCUGUAAUCUUCCUUUGGAGGUCACUUAGUACCACUCUUCUGAGCUCUGCUCAGGGGGUCCCCUAAUUAGUGUACUUCGACCUGCCAUGCUUGGCCUGGAAAACUCUUACCCUCUUCUCUGUUUUAAUUUGUAAAACCUUAGUCAAAUGCCAUCUCCAUAAACCUAUGCUAGAAUGCCCCUCUCUGUCCUCAGUCCUGGGGACAUAUCUAUGCUGCAGCGCAACCUCCCGCAUGUUGAUACUGUUGUUAUAGUCAGAUGAAUACUGUUCCCCCAUAGCUUAAGGGACAGGCCUUGUCCUACUCAUGAACAAUUGAUCCCUUGAAGCAUGAGCAGAGGGCCAGCACGCCACAGAUGAUCAAUGAGUGUUUGCUGACCCGCAUAUGACAACACGGAUUAAGGAAGACAAAUCUGGUAGCAGCAGGCAAGAAAGCUGAAAAGCAAGACACAGGAUGCAGGUCUGGAGUGAUCAGGGCCUGAACCAGGAAGGGAUAACAUUGAGAGAGACAUGGAAAAUGCGCUUGAAGUAUAUAUAUUUUUAUUGUAAAGAAUCAUACACAGAUAAGGUAGUAUUAUAUAGAGAAUGAUUAGUUGAGGAUAUUUCCAGAGUCUUUAAGCCAGAGAAAUGUACUAAUUUAGACAUUUCUGGACUCAUUGCUCAGUACUGAUGUCAUGUUUUUAAGGACACUGACACACUUGGCUAAUCCCAGAGACAUGAAGAGGAUGGUGACUAGGGUGGUCACAUAAUUAAAGGGGCUGGGGAUAUUUAACCUAGAAAGAGAAACAUUUUUUGUGCACAUAAUGACUGUACACAAAUUCUAACAAACUUUCAUGUGAAAGAGGACUGGAUUAGAUGACUUUCUUCUGUGUAGCUUUGGAGGGAAAAACUCAAACAAUGGGGGGAAAGAACAGGAAGCUGGAUUUAGGUUUCCUAUGUUAUGGAAGUCAUCACAGUGGGGGAUGAUAAUUGUAACAGGAAGAUGGAG
rnacentral:lncRNA from 10 species